AUUGAACGCUGGCGGCAGGCCUAACACAUGCAAGUCGAACGAGUGGCGGACGGGUGAGUAAUGUCUGGGAAACUGCCCGAUGGAGGGGGAUAACUACUGGAAACGGUAGCUAAUACCGCAUACCAUCAGAUGUGCCCAGAUGGGAUUAGCUAGUUGGUGGGGUAACGGCUCACAAAGGCGACGAUCCCUCGCUGGUCUGAGAGGAUGACCAGCCACACGGGAACGGAGACGCGGACCAGACUCCUACGGGAGGCAGCGUUGGGGAAUAGUGCACAAUGGGCGCAAGCCUGGUGCAGCCAUGCCGCGUGUAUGAAGAAGGCCUUCGGGUUGUAAAGUACUUUCAGCGGGGAGGCGUUACCCGCAGAAGAAGCACCGGCUAACUCCGUGCCAGCCGCCGCGGUAAUAC
rnacentral:rRNA from 1 species